GUGCCAGCAGCCGCGGUAAUACGGAGGGUGCAAGCGUUGUUCGGAAUUAUUGGGCGUAAAGAGCGUAUAGGCGGCCUUGUAAGUCAGAUGUGAAAUCCCUUGGCUUAACCAAGGAAGGGCAUUUGAAACUGCUUGGCUUGAGUACGGGAGGGGGAAGUGGAAUUCCCGGUGUAGAGGUGAAAUUCGUAGAUAUCGGGAGGAACACCAGUGGCGAAGGCGGCUUCCUGGACCGAUACUGACGCUGAGACGCGAAAGCGUGGGGAGCAAACAGGAUUAGAUACCCUGGUAGUCCACGCCGUAAACGUUGGGCACUAGGUGUUGUGGGUAUUGACCCCCGCAGUGCCGAAGCUAACGCAUUAAGUGCCCCGCCUGGGGAGCACGGUCGUAAGGCUAAAACUUAAAGGAAUUGACGGGG
rnacentral:rRNA from 1 species